GCCUUCGUGGUGUAGUGGUCAGCACGCUCGACGCGUAACCGAGAGUUCCGUGGUUCGAUUCCCGGCGAAGGCG
rnacentral:tRNA from 1 species